GCACGCCAAACAAAACAAGACACCUACACACAAAAAGGUGGCAAACAUGGAGCCCGACUGCCAAUCACUGGACUUACAUCAGCAUCCGAACCAAAACACACACAAAAGGGCAAACGUGGAGCCCGACUGCCAAUCACUGGACUUACAUCAGCAUCCGAACCCAACAAACCCACACUGGAACCCGAAUGCCACUCGAUGGACUUACAUCAGCUUCCAAGCACACAACAAGAACAACAAACAACAAAUUGCCAAGGAGUCGGGAACUCGAGCCUAGCAAUUGUCAAACAAACACACACAAAA
rnacentral:lncRNA from 1 species